rnacentral:rRNA from 1 species
CCUACGGGUGGCAGCAGUGAGGAAUAUUGGUCAAUGGACGCAAGUCUGAACCAGCCAUGCCGCGUGCAGGAAGACGGCCCUAUGAGUUGUAAACUGCUUUUGUACGAGGGUAAACGCAGAUACGCGUAUCUGUCUGAAAUUAUCGUACGAAUAAGGAUCGGAUAACUCCGUGCCAGCAGCCGGGGUAAUACGGAGGAUUCAAGCGUUAUCCGGAUUGAUUGGGUGUAAAGGGUACGUAGGAGGUCGGAUAAGUUGGAGGUGAAAUCCCUGGGCUCAACUUCGGAAGUGCCUCGUAUACUGUUCGGCUAGAGAGUAGUUGCGGUAGGCGGAAUGUAUGGUGUAGCGGUGAAAUGCUUAGAGAUCAUACAGAACCCCGAUUGCGAAGGCAGCUUACCAAGCUACUUCUGACGUUGAGGCACGAAAGCGUGGGGAGCAAACAGGAUUAGAUACCCGGGUAGUC